rnacentral:rRNA from 1 species
UACAGAGGGUGCAAGCGUUGUUCGGAAUUAUUGGGCGUAAAGGGCGCGUAGGCGGUGCUGUAAGUCUGUGGUGAAAUCUCUGGGCUCAACUCAGAGUCUGCCAUAGAAACUGCAGUGCUGGAGUGUGGGAGAGGUGAGUGGAAUUCCUGGUGUAGCGGUGAAAUGCGCAGAUAUCAGGAAGAACACCCGUGGCGAAGGCGGCUCUCUGGGACGGUACUGACGCUGAGACGCGAAAGCGUGGGGAGCGAACAGG